GAGACAAAAGGUGCGCGCAGUAGUAGCGACUUCCGGCCGUGGGCAGUUGGCUGUGGUGUCACGAGGAGAGGGGGGAAUUCGCGGGAAAUAGGUAAUCAUGGUUCUCACUAGUUUGGAGAAGAUGAUUGGACUCCAGAAAAAGCCGGCCAGUAUCAGGAAUAUCUGUAUACUGGCUCAUGUGGACCACGGUAA